rnacentral:rRNA from 1 species
GAUGAACGCUGGCGGCGUGCCUAAUACAUGCAAGUCGAGCGAACAGAUGAGGAGCUUGCUCCUCUGACGUUAGCGGCGGACGGGUGAGUAACACGUGGAUAACCUACCUAUAAGACUGGGAUAACUUCGGGAAACCGGAGCUAAUACCGGAUAAUAUAUUGAACCGCAUGGUUCAAUAGUGAAAGACGGUUUUGCUGUCACUUAUAGAUGGAUCCGCGCCGCAUUAGCUAGUUGGUAAGGUAACGGCUUACCAAGGCAACGAUGCGUAGCCGACCUGAGAGGGUGAUCGGCCACACUGGAACUUAGCCACGGUCCAGACUCCUACGGGAGGCAGCAGUAGGGAAUCUUCCGCAAUGGGCGAAAGCCUGACGGAGCAACGCCGCGUGAGUGAUGAAGGUCUUCGGAUCGUAAAACUCUGUUAUUAGUGAAGAACAAAUGUGUAAGUAACUAUGCACGUCUUGACGGUACCUAAUCAGAAAGCCCCGGCUAACCACGUG